UAACCAUGGUGAGGAAAAGAUCUUCGAAGCUCCUUAAACCUAUCCCAAGCUCCAUAUAAUGUCCCAUCCUCCUUUUGGGUGAAAUUAGCUAUUUUCCUCCUAGAUUCA